rnacentral:rRNA from 1 species
AAAAGAACCUGAAACCGUGUACGUACAAGCAGUGGGAGCCCCACCACUAAGCCAGUGGUGAACUCCACAUACGCAUCCUUUGCUGAGGAUACGGUUAACGGAGCGAAAGCGACGUUCAACCGCAAAACAAGCAGAGGGGGCUUAGUGGUGGGGUGACUGCGUACCUUUUGUAUAAUGGGUCAGCGACUUAUAUUCUGUAGCAAGGUUAACCGAAUAGGGGAGCCGUAGGGAAACCGAGUCUUAAUUGGGCGUUAAGUUGCAGGGUAUAGACCCGAAACCCGGUGAUCUAGCCAUGGGCAGGUUGAAGGUUGGGUAACACUAACUGGAGGACCGAACCGAC